rnacentral:tRNA from 1 species
GGAGAGGUGCCGGAGUGGCCGAACGGACUGGUUUUGAAAACCAGCGGCCUUCACGGGCCCGAGGGUUCAAAUCCCUCCCUCUCCGCCA